rnacentral:rRNA from 1 species
AUGAACGCUGGCGGCGUGCCUAAUACCUGCAAGUCGAGCGAACAGACGAGGAGCUUGCUCCUCUGACGUUAGCGGCGGACGGGUGAGUAACACGUGGAUAACCUACCUAUAAGACUGGGAUAACUUCGGGAAACCGGAGCUAAUACCGGAUAAUAUAUUGAACCGCAUGGUUCAAUAGUGAAAGACGGUUUUGCUGUCACUUAUAGAUGGAUCCGCGCCGCAUUAGCUAGUUGGUAAGGUAACGGCUUACCAAGGCAACGAUCCGUAGCCGACCUGAGAGGGUGAACGUCCACCCUGGAAGUGAGACCCGGACCAGACUCCUAAGAGAGGCAGCAGUAGGGAAUCUUCCGCAAUGAAGGAAAGCCUGACGGAGCAACGCCGCGUGAAUGAUGAAGGUCUUCGGAUCGUAUAACUCUGUUAUUCGGGAAGAACAAAUGUGUAAGUAACUAUGCACGUCUUGACGGUACCUAAUCAGAAAGCCACGGCUAACUACGUG